rnacentral:SRP_RNA from 1 species
GCUGGGCUGUGGCAGGUCCCUGUGGUCCCAGCUUCUUGGGAGACUGAGGUGGGAAGAUUGCUUGAGUGCAGGAGUUCUAGGCUGUAGUGAUCUUUGCCAAUCAGAUGUCCGCACUAAAUUUGGCAUCAAUAUGGUGACCUUCUGGGAGUGGGGAACCACCAGGUUGCCUAAGGAGGGGUGAACUGGCCCAGGACAGACACAGAGCAGGUCAUAACUCCCUGCUGAUCAGAACAUGUGUGGUCAAAGGGCUGGGCCUGGCAUCAGGCACUGGGAUGGGCAAUGUGCUGCCC